rnacentral:lncRNA from 1 species
ACAGCUCCAAUUGUUGUAUGCUAAAAAACAGUAGCAACUCCCAUCUUCAUAAAGAAGAAAGGGAACAGUCGGCUCUAAACGACACCAAUUAUGUCUCUGUUUUUUUCUCCAUUCUACGUGCAUCACCAAUGAUGGUGAAGAAAUUAAACUAAGCUAGCAAAAUGCCACUUGAACCCCUAAAAUCCCAAUCAAAUAUUCAGGUAACUACAGGGACGUGUCAAUCCUCAUCUACUCAUAGCUGAAUGAACUAAGCACGCACAGUUGGGCUCAGCUUCUCCUGCUGUGAGGUCGCCGCCGCCCCUUGGCUUCGUAAACGGAUGAGAUCACCUUUUGAUGCUGCGAGGUCGGCACCACCCCUUGCCGGCGCUUGCCUUGGUACUCGGAUGACGGCUGGGCUCACCUUCUGCUGCUGCGAGGCCGCCGCAGCACUUGCCCACGUUUUCGUUGGUACUCGUAGUGGCCGUCAGGUAGGUGGCUGGGCAGGGGCGCUAGGCCAGUGGCCGUGCAGGGGCGCCACAGGGAAGAGGCGCCCUCCGGUCUUGGCCUCUUAGGGGUGCGGCGACCGGUGGCCGGUGCCCAGGCAGGGGCGCCACAGGGAGGUCUUGGGGAGUAGGCGGCCCGUGGCCGAGCAGGGGCGCCACGGGGAGAAGGCGGCGGCGUGUGAAUCUCGCCUACUACUAGCG